AAUGGGGAAACCCAGUGUGUUUCGACACACUAUCAUUAACUGAAUCCAUAGGUUAAUGAGGCGAACCGGGGGAACUGAAACAUCUAAGUACCCCGAGGAAAAGAAAUCAACCGAGAUUCCCCCAGUAGCGGCGAGCGAACGGGGAGGAGCCCAGAGCCUGAAUCAGUGUGUGUGUUAGUGGAAGCGUCUGGAAAGGCGCGCGAUACAGGGUGACAGCCCCGUACACAAAAAUGCACAUGCUGUGAGCUCGAUGAGUAGGGCGGGACACGUGGUAUCCUGUCUGAAUAUGGGGGGACCAUCCUCCAAGGCUAAAUACUCCUGACUGACCGAUAGUGAACCAGUACCGUGAGGGAAAGGCGAAAAGAACCCCGGCGAGGGGAGUGAAAAAGAACCUGAAACCGUGUACGUACAAGCAGUGGGAGCCUCUUAAUGGGGUGACUGCGUACCUUUUGUAUAAUGGGUCAGCGACUUAUAUUCUGUAGCAAGGUUAACCGAAUAGGGGAGCCGAAGGGAAACCGAGUCUUAACUGGGCGUUAAGUUGCAGGGUAUAGACCCGAAACCCGGUGAUCUAGCCAUGGGCAGGUUGAAGGUUGGGUAACACUAACUGGAGGACCGAACCGACUAAUGUUGAAAAAUUAGCGGAUGACUUGUGGCUGGGGGUGAAAGGCCAAUCAAACCGGGAGAUAGCUGGUUCUCCCCGAAAGCUAUUUAGGUAGCGCCUCGUGAAUUCAUCUCCGGGGGUAGAGCACUGUUUCGGCAAGGGGGUCAUCCCGACUUACCAACCCGAUGCAAACUGCGAAUACCGGAGAAUGUUAUCACGGGAGACACACGGCGGGUGCUAACGUCCGUCGUGAAGAGGGAAACAACCCAGACCGCCAGCUAAGGUCCCAAAGUCAUGGUUAAGUGGGAAACGAUGUGGGAAGGCCCAGACAGCCAGGAUGUUGGCUUAGAAGCAGCCAUCAUUUAAAGAAAGCGUAAUAGCUCACUGGUCGAGUCGGCCUGCGCGGAAGAUGUAACGGGGCUAAACCAUGCACCGAAGCUGCGGCAGCGACACUAUGUGUUGUUGGGUAGGGGAGCGUUCUGUAAGCCUGUGAAGGUGGCCUGUGAGGGUUGCUGGAGGUAUCAGAAGUGCGAAUGCUGACAUAAGUAACGAUAAAGCGGGUGAAAAGCCCGCUCGCCGGAAGACCAAGGGUUCCUGUCCAACGUUAAUCGGGGCAGGGUGAGUCGACCCCUAAGGCGAGGCCGAAAGGCGUAGUCGAUGGGAAACAGGUUAAUAUUCCUGUACUUGGUGUUACUGCGAAGGGGGGACGGAGAAGGCUAUGUUGGCCGGGCGACGGUUGUCCCGGUUUAAGCGUGUAGGCUGGUUUUCCAGGCAAAUCCGGAAAACCAAGGCUGAGGCGUGAUGACGAGGCACUACGGUGCUGAAGUGACAAAUGCCCUGCUUCCAGGAAAAGCCUCUAAGCAUCAGGUAACAUCAAAUCGUACCCCAAACCGACACAGGUGGUCAGGUAGAGAAUACCAAGGCGCUUGAGAGAACUCGGGUGAAGGAACUAGGCAAAAUGGUGCCGUAACUUCGGGAGAAGGCACGCUGAUAUGUAGGUGAAGCGACUUGCUCGUGGAGCUGAAAUCAGUCGAAGAUACCAGCUGGCUGCAACUGUUUAUUAAAAACACAGCACUGUGCAAACACGAAAGUGGACGUAUACGGUGUGACGCCUGCCCGGUGCCGGAAGGUUAAUUGAUGGGGUUAGCGGUAACGCGAAGCUCUUGAUCGAAGCCCCGGUAAACGGCGGCCGUAACUAUAACGGUCCUAAGGUAGCGAAAUUCCUUGUCGGGUAAGUUCCGACCUGCACGAAUGGCGUAAUGAUGGCCAGGCUGUCUCCACCCGAGACUCAGUGAAAUUGAACUCGCUGUGAAGAUGCAGUGUACCCGCGGCAAGACGGAAAGACCCCGUGAACCUUUACUAUAGCUUGACACUGAACAUUGAGCCUUGAUGUGUAGGAUAGGUGGGAGGCUUUGAAGUGUGGACGCCAGUCUGCAUGGAGCCGACCUUGAAAUACCACCCUUUAAUGUUUGAUGUUCUAACGUUGGCCCCUAAUCGGGGUUGCGGACAGUGUCUGGUGGGUAGUUUGACUGGGGCGGUCUCCUCCUAAAGAGUAACGGAGGAGCACGAAGGUUGGCUAAUCCUGGUCGGACAUCAGGAGGUUAGUGCAAUGGCAUAAGCCAGCUUGACUGCGAGCGUGACGGCGCGAGCAGGUGCGAAAGCAGGUCAUAGUGAUCCGGUGGUUCUGAAUGGAAGGGCCAUCGCUCAACGGAUAAAAGGUACUCCGGGGAUAACAGGCUGAUACCGCCCAAGAGUUCAUAUCGACGGCGGUGUUUGGCACCUCGAUGUCGGCUCAUCACAUCCUGGGGCUGAAGUAGGUCCCAAGGGUAUGGCUGUUCGCCAUUUAAAGUGGUACGCGAGCUGGGUUUAGAACGUCGUGAGACAGUUCGGUCCCUAUCUGCCGUGGGCGCUGGAGAACUGAGGGGGGCUGCUCCUAGU
rnacentral:rRNA from 1 species